GGAGUUGACCAGACAGUCGCCGCAUAGCCGUUUUCCCUUGGGAAAACGGGCAUGGGGAGGAAAGUCCGGGCUCCAUAGGGCAGGGUGCCAGGUAACGCCUGGGGGACGUAAGUCCACGACAAGUGCAACAGAGAGCAAACCGCCGAUGGCCCGCCAUGCGGGAUCAGGUAAGGGUGAAAGGGUGCGGUAAGAGCGCACCGCGCGGCUGGCAACAGUCUGCGGCACGGUAAACUCCACCCGGAGCAAGGCCAAAUAGGGGUUCAUAAGGUACGGCCCGUAUCGAACCCGGGUAGGCUGCUUGAGCCAGCGCGCGAGCGCUGGCCUAGAUGAAUGACUGUCCACGACAGAACCCGGCUUACCGGUCAUCUCCGCUA
rnacentral:RNase_P_RNA from 1 species